rnacentral:rRNA from 1 species
CGAUUACGGCUCAGUAACACGUCGAUAAUCUGCCCUAUGGUCUGGAAUAGCCUUGGGAAACUGAGGGUAAUACCGGAUAUGGGAAAAAGUCUGGGAUGACUUUUCCUUGAAAGACUACGCCAUAGGAUGAGUCGGCGGUGGAUUAGGUAGUUGGUGGGGUAAUGGCCCACCAAGCCGAAGAUCCAUAGGGGCCUUGAGAGAGGGAGCCCCGAGAAGGACACUGAAACACUGGUCCUAGCCCUACGGGGUGCAGCAAGCGCGGAACCUCUACAAUGCACGAAACUGUGAUAGGGGAAUCCUAAGUGCUUAUGCAAUGCAUAAGCUUUUGCCAAGGGUAAAAACCUUGGAGAAUAAGUGGUGGGAAAGACUGGUGCCAGCAGCCGCGGUAACCCCAGCGCCACAAGUGGCUUUCACCAUUAUUGGGCCUAAAGCGUCCGUAGCCGGUCUGGUAAAUCUUAUGUGAAAUCGUACGGCUUAACGCGAACGGUGUGCAGAAGAGACUGCUGAACUAGGGACCGGGAGGGAGUUAGAGGUGUGUCGGGGGGAGCGCUUAGCUUGCUUAUCCCUUCCUC